UACAGAGGUCUCAAGCGUUGUUCGGAUUCAUUGGGCGUAAAGAGCUCGUAGGCGGCUUGUCGCGUCGGCUGUGAAAACCUGGGGCUCAACCCCGGGCCUGCAGCCGAUACGGGCAAGCUAGAAUUCGGUAGGGGAGACUGGAAUUCCUGGUGUAGCGGUGAAAUGCGCAGAUAUCAGGAGGAACACCGGUGGCGAAGGCGGGUCUCUGGGCCGAUAUUGACGCUGAGGAGCGAAAGCGUGGGGAGCGAACAGG
rnacentral:rRNA from 1 species